rnacentral:rRNA from 1 species
UGGGGAAUAUUGCACAAUGGGCGCAAGCCUGAUGCAGCCAUGCCGCGUGUAUGAAGAAGGCCUUCGGGUUGUAAAGUACUUUCAGUCGGGAGGAAGGUGGUAAGGUUAAUAACCUUGGCAAUUGACGUUACCGACAGAAGAAGCACCGGCUAACUCCGUGCCAGCAGCCGCGGUAAUACGGAGGGUGCAAGCGUUAAUCGGAAUUACUGGGCGUAAAGCGCACGCAGGCGGUUGAUUGAGUCAGAUGUGAAAUCCCCGGGCUUAACCCGGGAAUUGCAUCUGAUACUGGUCAGCUAGAGUCGUGUAGAGGGGGGUAGAAUUCCAUGUGUAGCGGUGAAAUGCGUAGAGAUGUGGAGGGAUACCGGUGGCGAAGGCGGCCCCCUGGACGAAGACUGACGCUCAGGUGCGAAAGCGUGGGGAGCAAACAGG